UACGAAGGGUGCAAACGUUGCUCGGAAUUAUUGGGCGUAAAGCGCACGUAGGCGGCUUGGCAAGUCGGAUGUGAAAUCCCUCGGCUCAACCAAGGAAGUGCAUCCGAAACUGCUGAGCUUGAGUAUUUAAGAGGAUCGCGGAAUUCCCGGUGUAGAGGUGAAAUUCGUAGAUAUCGGGAGGAACACCAGUGGCGAAGGGCGGCUUACUGGUCCGGUUCUGACGGCUGAG
rnacentral:rRNA from 1 species